rnacentral:rRNA from 1 species
GAACGAGAAAGUGGAGCAAUCCAUGAGUACAGUGGCGACCGGGUGAGUAACACGUGACCAACCUGCCCUCGAGUGGGGAAUAACUCCGGGAAACCGGAGCUAAUACCGCAUAACAUCGCAAGAUCAAAGCCGCAAGGCGCUUGAGGAGGGGGUCGCGGCUGAUUAGCUAGUUGGUAGGGUAACGGCCUACCAAGGCGAAGAUCGGUAGCCGGCCUGAGAGGGCGCACGGCCACACUGGAACUGAAACACGGUCCAGACUCCUACGGGAGGCAGCAGUGGGGAAUUUUGCGCAAUGGGGGAAACCCUGACGCAGCAACGCCGCGUGGAGGAUGAAGUCCCUUGGGACGUAAACUCCUUUCGACCGGGACGAUACUGACGGUACCGGAAGAAGAAGCACCGGCUAACUCUGUGCCAGCAGCCGCGGUAAU